AUUGAACGCUGGCGGCAGGCUUAACACAUGCAAGUCGGGCGGGGAAGGGUAGCUUGCUACCUGACCUAGCGGCGGACGGGUGAGUAAUGCUUAGGAAUCUGCCUAUUAGUGGGGGACAACAUUCCGAAAGGAAUGCUAAUACCGCAUACGCCCUACGGGGGAAAGCAGGGGAUCUUCGGACCUUGCGCUAAUAGAUGAGCCUAAGUCAGAUUAGCUAGUUGGUGGGGUAAAGGCCUACCAAGGCGACGAUCUGUAGCGGGUCUGAGAGGAGGAGCCGCCACACUGGGACUGGGAAACGGCCCAGACUCCUACGGGAGGCAGCAGUGGGGAAUAUUGGACAAUGGGCGAAAGCCUGAUCCAGCCAUGCCGCGUGUGUGAAGAAGGCCUUUUGGUUGUAAAGCACUUUAAGCGAGGAGGAGGCUACCGAGAUUAAUACUCUUGGAUAGUGGACGUUACUCGCAGAAUAAGCACCGGCUAACUCUGUGCCAGCCGCCGCGGUAAUAC
rnacentral:rRNA from 1 species